GACGAACGCUGGCGGCGUGCUUAACACAUGCAAGUCGAGCGGGGCCCGCCUUUCGGGGUGGUGUUCUAGCGGCGAACGGGUGAGUAACACGUGGGCAACCUGCCCUCAGCUCUGGGAUAACUCCAAGAAAUUGGGGCUAAUACCGGAUAUGACCGCUGACCGCAUGGUCUGGUGGUGGAAAGAUUUAUCGGCUGGGGAUGGGCCCGCGGCCUAUCAGCUUGUUGGUGGGGUAGUGGCCUACCAAGGCGA
rnacentral:rRNA from 1 species